rnacentral:rRNA from 1 species
GAUGAACGCUAGCUACAGGCUUAACACAUGCAAGUCGAGGGGCAGCAUGAAGUUUGCUUGCAAACUUUGAUGGCGACCGGCGGAUGGGUGAGUAACGCGUACCCAACCUGCCCCCUUCCCGGGCACAGCCCUUGGAAACGAGGAUUAACGCCCGAUGGCGUCAGGAUGCCGCAUGGCAUUCCGACCAAAUGCGAAGGAAGGGGAUGGGGGUGCGUCCCAUUAGCUAGUUGGCGGGGUAACGGCCCACCAAGGCAUCGAUGGGUAGGGGUUCUGAGAGGAAGGUCCCCCCANACUGGAACUGAGACACGGUCCAGACUCCUACGGGAGGCAGCAGUGAGGAAUAUUGGUCAAUGGAGGCAACUCUGAACCCAGCCAAGUAGCGUGAGGGAUGACUGCCCUACGGGGUUGUAAACCUCUUUUGUCGGGGAAUAAACCGCGCCACGUGUGGCGCCCUGCAUGUACCCGCAGAAUAAGGACCGGCUAAUUCCGUG